GCCCCCCCAAUCAAAAUUGUCUGGAGCCGCCACUGGGAGUUCUGUCAAGCAAUGGAUCCGAGGUUUGAUUAUUUAUUGUUUAUGUCAAGGAAAAGUUCCAGGGGCGUCGCACCCGUGGGGGAUACACCCACACUUUUCACGGUGAGAGGGUUCAACACCCGCACGUUUUCUGCAGUUUUUCCGCAGUAUUGCACAAACGCCUUACUACAGUCGCUCCUCCGUUUCUCUGGCCACUCUGUGUGUACACUCGCUGCGGCUGCCUCCUCUCUGCCUCCCUCUCAAACAUGACACCGGCUUUGAGUGUGACCAGCUGAUGAUUGGCUGUUCUGCCUUAAGUCCCGCCUCUCUUGGGGUGUUAUCGGUCAGCUCAUGCUGAGGAGGCGGGAACUUAUGGUUAUGGUUAUUUACAUCUCCCUUUUCAAGUAUCAUUAAAAUGCAAAAAAGAAAGUGGCAGGAGAAAAGAUUGACACCUUUUUCAAGAGAAAUCAUGUUUUUUUCAAACACAGCUGGAACUGUUUGUCCCUAUUCCUUUACCACUGCCCAUUAUUACCACUUUAGGAGAGGAAGUUGCUGGAGGCAUCAGUUUCAGAGAGAGCACAGGAAGGUUCACAGGUGUCUGAUCAUCACAACACUAUCCUUGAUGUGCCAGUGGGGAUCUUAUUCGGGGACACAGCCCCCCAACAGAUCUUCAGCCCCCCAACUCCUUGCACUUGACUUCUUCUAUUGGAAUAAUUCUUGAAGGCCAAGUGGUGAUGGAAAAAUGUGGGACCUCCCACAGGCCAUCUGUCAUCUCUUCGGUAGACAACGUCUCCAGAAUGCUGAGAUACAUCCAGCCAAGUGGGGAUGAAGUCAGUUUAGUCCACUGAGACCAAGGACUACCUCACCCAACUCUGACACGCUGACCAGCCACCAUACUGAACUACAUCAAGAACAUGAUCUGGUUUGUUCAGUAUCUGAAGACCCACCUCAACUUGGCUGCAGCAGAUGCUGACUUCUACAGGAAGAGCCAAGCCUACAUCGACCUCCUCGGUUCCCUCAGAAAGCCAGUGGCGAAGUCGAACAGCAAGGUCGCUUGUAAAACCAGGUAUGACCGGUUCCUUGAGGGUGAGAUGAGGCUUCAGGAGUGCCAGGCAGUCCUCCGGAAGGCCAAGGCUGCUGAAAGACAACAGAGUGGGAUGAAAGAAAAAAUUCUGGGGGAAAGGUGUGUGUGGCUGUCAGCGAACACAAGACUGCGACAAUGCAGAUCACUGUGUUUGCCCUGACAAUGGAGGAGGGAGCAAUCCUGGACACAUACUACACCUGGAUCCACCCUUACUGCAUCCGGCCAGAUGUAGGUCAUGGAAACAGGUUAUUUGUUUCUUCAUCGGGCACAAAGAUCAGGAGUGCAACCAAUGACCUCUCUCGUCUGCACGCACGUGUGCCCAAUAUCAAAAGCCAGCAGAUACGCAGGACCGUUGAGACAGAAGUGGCUGCAAACUUCACAGAGGAGCAGAAGGCAUCGGUCACACACUACAUGGCCCAUUCGACGGCAGUGGGAAAUCAACACUACAGAAUGGUCUCCGAAGAGGGCAGAUUUGCUGCUGAAUCAUAGGCCUGGCUCUCUCUUCAACAUGAUCACAUUUACUUCAGUGAUAAUAUAUAACCUAGAUUCAGGCUUUUCACUGGAGACUAACAUUGUUAAUUUUGAAACUUGUGGCGCCUCUCAGGGUACUGUUGAGUUAGGCCUAAAUUUGUUGUCAAGAACAGACCACAGUUUAGCAAGAUCUAUGUGCCAUUCAUAGUUUUUUAACAAAUUUUUUAUGUAGAUAUGUUGGAAAUUCUAUUCUGUAAUUUAUAUGCCCUUACAUUUCUGGGUGAUCCCAGGAUAAAAUUCUCCCCUGGAGAUUUAUUAUUAACCUGGUUUUUGGGUGAUCCCUAGAUAAAAUUCUCCCCAGGUGACCUGAUCUCACCGAAGAGGGCAGAUUUGCUGCUGACUCAUAGGCCUGGGUAAAAUGUAAUUAUUUAUUUUAUGUUUUUAUUGCACUUCCUGUGUAUGUAAAUAUAUAUUUGCUCCAUUUCAUAUGUAGCACAUAAUUAAAAUUGUUGAGCCAGGACUUGUGGGGCAGAGGAAAUUUUACUCCGUAAUUUAUAGUUUUAAAGCACUGGCCUUGCAUUUCUGGGUGAUCCCAGGAUAAAAUUUAAAUCCCCCGGUGAUUUAUUGUUAACCUGAUUUUACCGAAGAGGGCAGAUUUGCUGCUGACUCAUAGGCCUGGAUAAAAUGUAUUUAUAUUUUAUGUUGUUAUUGCACUACCCGUGUAUGUAAAUAUUAAUUUGUUCCUUUUCAUAUGUAGCACAUAAUUAGUAUCAUGUUUGAAAAAUUUUCUACAACCUAAUUGGUCGAUCUGUUGGACAACAUCGCUACACAAGUGGAGCUCUCUGACUGAAAAAGAUCUGACCAAGCAGAUUCUGGAGCUCUCUAAGGAGCUGAACAGAGGGACACUAUGUCCGAUUGUGACCUUUUUGGGCUAAUGAAGCAGAUGAUGGUGAGAUGAAUAUAGGCAUCGAAUAAAUAAAAAAAACCUGGGGAAAUGCUCUGGCCUCCUGAAUACAGACAGCCGGGACCUGCGGAGAGAAAAGCAGUGCAACCACGCUGUCAUUGCUUAAUUUUUGUUCUUGUUUAAGGUUCUGGGGUUGACAUAUUCUUUUAACUGCUGCUAUUUAAAUUUCUUUCUUUUUUCAGUCUCUGCCAGUUCAUCAGUUUUGUUCUUGUUGUCAUUCUAUUUAUUGUUAAUUUUUAAGCUGUGCUUUGUUGUUUAUAGUUCCUUCGUGUUGCCAGAAUAAAAUGUGCUACAGAUGUUCUCUCUUUUUUUAAUUGACAGCCGAGAUUGAGGGGGAUGUGAUUGUGAGGGAUGGAUGUUAUAUUGCGAGAAAAUUCUUGGACCCGGAGCAAGAUGUGCGAGAACAGAGGGGCAAAAGCUUUUGCCUAAAAGAACGGACGUCAUGAAGGCAAAGCAGG